UACGUAGGGGGCAAGCGUUGUCCGGAUUUAUUGGGCGUAAAGCGCUCGCAGGUGGUUCAUUGCGUCGUGCGUGAAAGACCCCGGCUCAACUGGGGAGGGUCGUGCGAAACGGGUGAACUAGAGGCCAGUAGGGGGAUGCGGAAUUCCGGGUGUAGUGGUGGAAUGCGUAGAGAUCCGGAGGGACACCAGCGGCGAAGGCGGCAUCCUGGACUGGUCCUGACACUCAGGAGCGAAAGCGUGGGGAGCGAUCCGG
rnacentral:rRNA from 1 species